UUCUGUGUGGUCGAUGAUGCAGUUAUGUGUCUGAUUAAAACAUGAGGCAGUUCACAUUUCUCGUCACUACCACUGAGACCACAUCACG
rnacentral:snoRNA from 1 species